rnacentral:rRNA from 1 species
GACGGAGGAUGCAAGCGUUAUCCGGAAUGAUUGGGCGUAAAGCGUCCGCAGGUGGCAGUUCAAGUCUGCUGUCAAAGACCGGGGCUUAACUUCGGAAAGGCAGUGGAAACUGAACAGCUAGAGUAUGGUAGGGGCAGAAGGAAUUCCUGGUGUAGCGGUGAAAUGCGUAGAUAUCAGGAAGAACAUCGGUGGCGAAGGCGCUCUGCUGGGCCAUAACUGACACUGAGGGACGAAAGCUAGGGGAGCGAAAGGG